rnacentral:rRNA from 1 species
CACGUGGGCAACCUGCCUGUAAGAUCGGAAUAACCCCGGGAAACCGGGGCUAAUGCCGGGUAAUACUUUCUUUCGCAUGAAGGAAAGUUGAAAGAUGGCUUCUCGCUAUCACUUACAGAUGGGCCCGCGGCGCAUUAGCUAGUUGGUGAGGUAACGGCUCACCAAGGCGACGAUGCGUAGCCGACCUGAGAGGGUGAUCGGCCACACUGGGACUGAGACACGGCCCAGACUCCUACGGGAGGCAGCAGUAGGGAAUCUUCCGCAAUGGACGAAAGUCUGACGGAGCAACGCCGCGUGAACGAUGAAGGUCUUCGGAUCGUAAAGUUCUGUUGUUAGGGAAGAACAAGUACCGUGCGAAUAGAGCGGUACCUUGACGGUACCUAACGAGGAAGCCCCGGCUAACUACGUGCCAGCAGCCGCGGUAAUACGUAGGGGGCAAGCGUUGUCCGGAAUUAUUGGGCGUAAAGCGCGCGCAGGCGGUUCCUUAAGUCUGAUGUGAAAGCCCACGGCUCAACCGUGGAGGGUCAUUGGAAACUGGGGAACUUGAGGACAGAAGAGGAGAGUGGAAUUCCACGUGUAGCGGUGAAAUGCGUAGAUAUGUGGAGGAACACCAGUGGCGAAGGCGACUCUCUGGUCUGUUUCUGACGCUGAGGUGCGAAAGCGUGGGUAGCAAACAGGAUUAGAUACCCUGGUAGUCCACGCCGUAAACGAUGAGUGCUAGGUGUUAGGGGGCUUCCACCCCUUAGUGCUGAAGUUAACGCAUUAAGCACUCCGCCUGGGGAGUACGGCCGCAAGGCUGAAACUCAAAGGAAUUGACGGGGGCCCGCACAAGCGGUGGAGCAUGUGGUUUAAUUCGAAGCAACGCGAAGAACCUUACCAGGUCUUGACAUCCUUGGACAAUCCUAGAGAUAGGACUUUCCCUUCGGGGACCAAGUGACAGGUGGUGCAUGGUUGUCGUCAGCUCGUGUCGUGAGAUGUUGGGUUAAGUCCCGCAACGAGCGCAACCC